UUAGCAAAAUGAGGGUAAGUGCCGAACAUUGGAACUUACUGUUAAACGUUUGCGAGAACAAUCCGGAAUUAAUAACAAAUAAAUUUAAUGGUACUGAAGGAAUGCAAGUGUUUCGGUACAAUUGAAUAGUUUAGGAUAUGGUGAAAAAACCGUGGAUGGUUGGCGAAAAGUAAACGCUUACUGAUUUACUGAUUGGAAAUGCAAAACAAAAUCAAAGGCUUCUGUCAUAAAAAUGGAGCAGCAACGAACUGGCGCCCGAGUUAGGAUUUGGAAAAGUUGAAAUUCUCAAAAAUAUGGAGACUGAUGCACCAUCCACCAGUGCCAUACGAACUCCCUGUGCCCCAUUAAAUGUUGAGAUUAAUGCAGCAUCCACCAGUGCCUCACUAACCCCCAGUGUAAAAAGAAAGUUGGAAUACAAAAGCACUCAUUCAGAAAGGUGCUAUUCAGGCGAGCUCAAUCGGCGACAUCGACAGUUGAAAUAUUUGAAGGCCGUUCAUGUUUAUUGUGUGUUUAUUUC